UACGUAGGGGGGCAAGCGUUGUCCGGAUUUAUUGGCGUAAAGAGCGUGUAGGCGGCCAGAUAGGUCUGCUGUGAAAACUCGAGGCUCAACCUCGAGAUGUCGGCGGAAACCAUUUGGCUAGAGUCCGGAAGAGGAAAGUGGAAUUCCUGGUGUAGCGGUGAAAUGCGCAGAUAUCAGGAAGAACACCCGUGCGAAGGCGGCUUUCUGGGACGGUACUGACGCUGAGACGCGAAAGCGUGGGGAGCGAACAGG
rnacentral:rRNA from 1 species